AUUGAACGCUGGCGGCAUGCUUUACACAUGCAAGUCGAGCGGAGAUGAGGUGCUUGCACCUUAUCUUAGCGGCGGACGGGUGAGUAAUGCUUAGGAAUCUGCCUAUUAGUGGGGGACAACAUUCCGAAAGGAAUGCUAAUACCGCAUACGCCCUACGGGGGAAAGCAGGGGAUCUUCGGACCUUGCGCUAAUAGAUGAGCCUAAGUCGGAUUAGCUAGUUGGUGGGGUAAAGGCCUACCAAGGCGACGAUCUGUAGCGGGUCUGAGAGGAUGAUCCGCCACACUGGGACUGAGACACGGCCCAGACGCCUACGGGAGGCGGCAGUGGGGAAUAUUGGCCAAUGGGCGGAAGCCUGAUCCAGCCAUGCCGCGUGUGUGAAGAAGGCCUUUUGGUUGUAAAGCACUUUAAGCGAGGAGGAGGCUACCUGGAUUAAUACUCUAGGAUAGUGGACGUUACUCGCAGAAUAAGCACCGGCUAACUCUGUGCCAGCAGCCGCCGUAAUAC
rnacentral:rRNA from 1 species